rnacentral:rRNA from 1 species
UACGUAGGUGGCAAGCGUUGUCCGGAGUUAUUGGGCGUAAAGCGCGCGCAGGCGGUGCGGUAAGUCUCUGGUGAAAGCGCUCGGCUUAACUGGGCGAGGGCCGGGGAGACUGCCACGCUGGAGGGGAGCAGAGGCGAGUGGAAUUCCGGGUGUAGAGGUGAAAUUCGUAGAUAUUCGGAAGAACACCAGUGGCGAAGGCGACUCGCUGGACAAGUAUUGACGCUGAGGUGCGAAAGCGUGGGGAGCAAACAGG